rnacentral:rRNA from 1 species
AGCAGCCGCCGCGGUAAUACGUAGGUGGCGAGCGUUGUCCGGAAUUAUUGGGCGUAAAGGGAGCGCAGGCGGACAUAUAAGUCCAUCUUAAAAGUGCGGGGCUCAACCCCGUGAGGGGAUGGAAACUGUAUGCCUUGAGUGCAGGAGAGGAAAGCGGAAUUCCCAGUGUAGCGGUGAAAUGCGUAGAUAUUGGGAGGAACACCAGUGGCGAAGGCGGCUUUCUGGACUGUAACUGACGCUGAGGCUCGAAAGCCAGGGGAGCGAACGGGAUUAGAUACCCCUGUAGUCCCUGUCUCUUAUACA